rnacentral:rRNA from 1 species
UGGGGAAUUUUGGACAAUGGGCGCAAGCCUGAUCCAGCCAUGCCGCGUGCGGGAAGAAGGCCUUCGGGUUGUAAACCGCUUUUGUACGGAACGAAACGGCUCUGGUUAAUACCUGGGGCUAAUGACGGUACCGUAAGAAUAAGCACCGGCUAACUACGUGCCAGCAGCCGCGGUAAUACGUAGGGUGCGAGCGUUAAUCGGAAUUACUGGGCGUAAAGCGUGCGCAGGCGGUGAUGUAAGACAGAUGUGAAAUCCCCGGGCUCAACCUGGGACCUGCAUUUGUGACUGCAUCGCUGGAGUGCGGCAGAGGGGGAUGGAAUUCCGCGUGUAGCAGUGAAAUGCGUAGAGAUGCGGAGGAACACCGAUGGCGAAGGCAGCCUCCUGGGCCAGUACUGACGCUCAUGCACGAAGGCGUGGGGAGCAAACA